AACAAACGCUGGCGGCGUGCCUAACACAUGCAAGUCGAACGCGAAAAUCGGCUUCGGCCGAUGAGUAAAGUGGCGCACGGGUGAGUAACGCGUGGAUAAUCUACCCUUCAGUUGGGAAUAACUUAUCGAAAAGUGAGCUAAUACCGAAUAAAACUGCCUGACCACGGUCGGGUAGUCAAAGAUAGCCUCUGCUUGCAAGCUUUCGCUGAAUGAUGAGUCCGCGUACCAUUAGCUAGUUGGUGGGGUAAUGGCCUACCAAGGCGACGAUGGUUAGCUGGUCUGAGAGGAUGAUCAGCCACACUGGAACUGAGACACGGUCCAGACUCCUACGGGAGGCAGCAGUGAGGAAUCUUGCGCAAUGGGGGAAACCCUGACGCAGCAACGCCGCGUGAGUGAGGAAGGUCUUCGGAUCGUAAAGCUCUGUCGGGUGGAAAGAAAUGUAUGGGGUUAAUAGCCUUCAUACUUGACGGUACCACCAAAGGAAGCACCGGCUAA
rnacentral:rRNA from 1 species